rnacentral:lncRNA from 1 species
UUAUUUUGAUCUCAUGCCUAAUACCUUAUUUUGAGCAAAUAUCAAGGAGUAUUUCAUCUGGUACAUGAGAAGACAAAGAAGACUGUUAGCUAUGGACUUACUUGCUUGGAUGUGGCCAUCUUUAUUUGAUUCCUUGAUCUUCAUAUUGCUAAUUGCUUGCUGAUUAUAGCUUGAUUCAAAGUCCAAAGGGAAAAUGGGUUUUCUAUAUGACAUUCUUGUUUGUUGGAUUGCAUCCCAUUGGUCAGAUCUUUUCAACUCUUAUCUUUUAUUUUUA